UGGGCAACAUGUGAUUUAAUUUUGAAUCUC
rnacentral:piRNA from 1 species